rnacentral:rRNA from 1 species
AACGAACGCUGGCGGCAGGCCUAACACAUGCAAGUCGAGCGAGGACUUCGGUCCUAGCGGCGGACGGGUGAGUAACGCGUGGGAACGUGCCCUUUGCUUCGGAAUAGCCCUGGGAAACUGGGAGUAAUACCGGAUGAGCCCUUUGGGGGAAAGAUUUAUCGGCGAAGGAUCGGCCCGCGUUGGAUUAGGUAGUUGGUGGGGUAAUGGCCUACCAAGCCGACGAUCCAUAGCUGGUUUGAGAGGAUGAUCAGCCACACUGGGACUGAGACACGGCCCAGACUCCGACGGGAGGCAGCAGUGGGGAAUCUUAGACAAUGGGGGAAACCCUGAUCUAGCCAUGCCGCGUGAGCGAUGAAGGCCUUAGGGUUGUAAAGCUCUUUCAGCUGGGAAGAUAAUGACGGUACCAGCAGAAGAAGCCCCGGCUAACUCCGUG